rnacentral:rRNA from 1 species
UACGUAGGGAGCAAGCGUUGUCCGGAUUUACUGGGUGUAAAGGGUGCGUAGGCGGCCCUGCAAGUCAGAAGUGAAAUCCAUGGGCUUAACCCGUGAACUGCUUUUGAAACUGUAGGGCUUGAGUGAAGUAGAGGUAGGCGGAAUUCCCGGUGUAGCGGUGAAAUGCGUAGAGAUCGGGAGGAACACCAGUGGCGAAGGCGGUCUGCUGGGCUUUAACUGACGCUGAAGCACGAAAGCGUGGGUAGCAAACAGG